AAUCACUGCACCUGAAGUGGUUAUUCAGGCCUGCUCCAGCUUUCCCAAUCAGGUGUGAGGGGGAGAACUGGAGACAAAGGAGCUACAGGCCAGUUGACCCUUUUUAGGGUUAAAGGAUGGCGAGCUUCUGACAACUGGCUGGGCCAGGAGAACUUGAAAUUCACUCCAUACUGGACUGGUAGGAGGCUGAUGGUCCACAGUAUUUCCCCCUCCUUCUCACUAUACCGACACACAAUCCAUUAUUCAUCUCUUCUUCAUUGGGAGCAAAUUGCACUUGGACAUUUUCAUCUUAAAUAUCUGGAUAAUCAGACCAUGAACUAUUUAAAUAUGUGUCAGUCAGACAUUGUGCUGACCGGAGGGGAAAUUUAGGAUUUUCGUGCACAUUCAUAUGGAAGAUCUACUGCAGUACUGUGUAUAUAUAUUUUGUAUUUAUUGUUGGGUUCUAUGUAUGUUUUGUGUCUUGUGGUGUUCACUUUAAUUUUCUCUUCAAUAAAAUACAUGGUAUUGAAAGCAGUUA